GACGAACGCUGGCGGCGUGCUUAACACAUGCAAGUCGAGCGGUAAGGCCCUUUCGGGGUACGACGAGCGGCGAACGGGUAGGAGUAACACGUGGGUGGACCUCGCCCUCCAGCUCUGGGAGUAAGACCUCGGGAAACCGGGGUACGUAAUAACUGGGUAGUGACUCCAUGACGCAUGUUGUGGGGUGGAAAGCCUUGUGCGGCUGAGGAUGGGCCCGGCGGCCUAUCAGCUUGUUGGUGGGGUGAUGGCCUACCAAGGCGACGACGGGUAGCCGGCCUGAGAGGGCGACCGGCCACACUGGGACUGAGACACGGCCCAGACUCCUACGGGAGGCAGCAGUGGGGAAUCUUGCGCAAUGGGGCGAAAGCCUGACGCAGCGACGCCGCGUGAGGGAUGACGGCCU
rnacentral:rRNA from 1 species